UACGAAGGGGGCUAGCGUUGCUCGGAAUCACUGGGCGUAAAGCGCACGUAGGCGGCUUGUUAAGUCAGGGGGUGAAAUCCUGGAGCUCAACUCCAGAACUGCCUUUGAUACUGGCGAGCUUGAGUUCGGGAGAGGUGAGUGGAACUGCGAGUGUAGAGGUGAAAUUCGUAGAUAUUCGCAAGAACACCAGUGGCGAAGGCGGCUCACUGGCCCGAUACUGACGCUGAGGUGCGAAAGCGUGGGGAGCAAACAGGG
rnacentral:rRNA from 1 species